rnacentral:rRNA from 1 species
CCUACGGGAGGCAGCAGUCGAGAAUCAUUCACAAUGGGGGAAACCCUGAUGGUGCGACGCCGCGUGGGGGAAUGAAGUUCUUCGGAUUGUAAACCCCUGUCAUGUGGGAGCAAAUUAAAAAGAUAGUACCACAAGAGGAAGAGACGGCUAACUCUGUGCCAGCAGCCGCGGUAAUACAGAGGUCUCAAGCGUUGUUCGGAAUCACUGGGCGUAAAGCGUGCGUAGGCUGUUUCGUAAGUCGUGUGUGAAAGGCGAGGGCUCAACCCGCGGACGGCACAUGAUACUGCGAGACUAGAGUAAUGGAGGGGGAACCGGAAUUCUCGGUGUAGCAGUGAAAUGCGUAGAUAGCGGGAGGAACACUCGUGGCGAAGGCGGGUUCCUGGACAUUAACUGACGCUGAGGCACGAAGGCCAGGGGAGCGAAAGGGAUUAGAUACCCUGGUAGUC